rnacentral:rRNA from 1 species
CCUACGGGAGGCAGCAGUCGAGAAUUAUUCACAAUGGGGGAAACCCUGAUGGUGCGACGCCGCGUGGGGGAAUGAAGGUCUUCGGAUUGUAAACCCCUGUCAUGUGGGAGCAAAUUAAAAAGAUAGUACCACAAGAGGAAGAGACGGCUAACUCUGUGCCAGCAGCCGCGGUAAUACAGAGGUCUCAAGCGUUGUUCGGAAUCACUGGGCGUAAGGCGUGCGUAGGCUGUUUCGUAAGUCGUGUGUGAAAGGCGCGGGCUCAACCCGCGGACGGCACAUGAUACUGCGAGACUAGAGUAAUGGAGGGGGAACCGGAAUGCUCGGUGUAGCAGUGAAAUGCGUAGAUAUCGAGAGGAACACUCGUGGCGAAGGCGGGUUCCUGGACAUUAACUGACGCUGAGGCACGAAGGCCAGGGGAGCGAAAGGGAUUAGAUACCCCAGUAGUC